AUACUAACCUGGCUGGGGAAAUACCUUGGUCAAGAGGGUGGUUUUCCAGGGCAAGCUUUAUCCACUGCACUCAAGAUGUGCUGACCCCAGUGAGUUUCCCACGUGGGGGAAACUCGACUGCAUGCUUUAUGGUAGUGGGGAUCGCAUUUGCACUCUUCCCCA